GCUGCGAAGUUAAACCCGUGACCAAAAAUUGAAAUCAUCCUUUUCCUUUCAAUUUUUGGUCACGCGUUUAACUUCCCAGC
rnacentral:pre_miRNA from 1 species